rnacentral:rRNA from 1 species
AGAUGAGUCUUUUGGCAAAGCGCCGUCCAAGUUCCCUGGAACGGGACGCCAGAGAGGGUGAGAGCCCCGUACCGACGCGCGCCUCGCCUUUGCAAAGCUCAUUCGACGAGUCGAGUAGUUUGGAAAUGCUGCUCUAAUUGUGGGGUAAAUCUCCCAUAAGGCUAAAUACUGGCCAGAGACCGAUAGCGCACAAGUAGCGUGAGCGAAAGAUGAAAAGAGCCUUGAACAAGGGCGUCAAAAAGCAUGUGAAAUUGUUAUGGGGGAAGCGCUCAAUGCCAGACGUGGUGGCGGUUGGUUACCCGGCGUUCUUCGCCGGCGCACUCUGCCGUCACCAGGCCAGCAUCAGUUUGGUUUGGGGUUACUACCACUGGGAACGUGGCUCUUCGGAGUGUUAUAGCCCUGCGGUGACGCCCUGGACCGGACUGAGGAACGCGCAUCUGCCCGGAUGCUGGCUUAAUGGCCUUUAGCGACCCGUCUUGAAACACGGACCAAGGAGUUGACCUAGUAUGCGAGUGUUUGGGUGUUAAGCCCUUACGCGUAGUGAAAGCGAACGUAGAUGGGAGCUUCGGCGCACCAUCGACCGAUCCUGAUGUUUUCGGAUGGAUUUGAGUAGGAGCAUGCUGGGUCUGACCCGAAAGAAGGUGAACUAUGCAUGAAUAGGGUGAAGCCAGAGGAAACUCUGGUGG